rnacentral:rRNA from 1 species
GUGGGGAAUCUUCCGCAAUGGACGAAAGUCUGACGGAGCGACGCCGCGUGAGUGAAGAAGGCCUUCGGGUCGUAAAGCUCUGUCAUCAGGGACGAACGGCCGGUGGAGUGGAAAGCCACCGGAUUGACGGUACCUGAGAAGGAAGCCACGGCUAACUACGUGCCAGCAGCCGCGGUAAUACGUAGGUGGCAAGCGUUGUCUGGAAUUAUUGGGCGUAAAGCGCGCGCAGGUGGGAUCUUAAGUCCAUUUUUAAAGUUCGGAGCUCAACUCCGUGAUGGGAUGGAAACUGGGAUUCUUGAGUACCGGAGAGGAAAGCGGAAUUCCCCGUGUAGCGGUGAAAUGCGUAGAUAUGGGGAGGAACACCAGUGGCGAAGGCGGCUUUCUGGACGGUGUCUGACACUGAGGCGCGAAAGCCAGGGGAGCGAACGGGAUUAGAUACCCCUGUAGUCC